rnacentral:ncRNA from 1 species
CAAUGCGUGUUUGACCACGAUAUUUUUGAACGAAACACCUUUCAGGCGCGCCGUGCGAAUAUAUUGCGCGGUCAUCACCUCGGCCAUCGAGGCGCGCGUCAUGCGGGCGAUAUAGCCCAUGCCAUAAAGCGCAAUGGUCAGCACCGGCAGGAAGAAGUUUUCAAAAUUGG